rnacentral:piRNA from 1 species
UGGUAACAUUUUGCUAAGUUGUACUAUAGG